CAUAAUUUCUACAUAAAUUUUAUUUUUUUCAUUAGGGCUAAAUGAUUACAAAAAGACUUCAUAUGAAAACUGUAGCCCUGGGAUGAAAACUAUAUUCAAUAUUCAAAACAAACAUUGAGUUU